rnacentral:rRNA from 1 species
GACGAACGCUGGCGGCGUGCUUAACACAUGCAAGUCGAACGGAAAGGCCCCUUUGGGGGUACUCGAGUGGCGAACGGGUGAGUAACACGUGAGUAACCUGCCCUUGACUUCGGGAUAACUUCAGGAAACUGGGGCUAAUACCGGAUAGGAAUCCUUGCUGCAUGGUGGGGGUUUGAAAGCUUCGGCGGUUUUGGAUGGACUCGCGGCUUAUCAGCUUGUUGGUGGGGUAGUGGCUUACCAAGGCUUUGACGGGUAGCCGGCCUGAGAGGGCGACCGGCCACAUUGGGACUGAGAUACGGCCCAGACUCCUACGGGAGGCAGCAGUGGGGAAUAUUGCACAAUGGGCGGAAGCCUGAUGCAGCAACGCCGCGUGCGGGAUGACGGCCUUCGGGUUGUAAACCGCUUUCAGCAGGGGCGAAGCUUUUGUGACGGUACCUGCAGAAGAAGCACCGGCUAACUACGUG